GGUUAAGCGACUAAGCGUACACGGUGGAUGCCCUGGCAGUCAGAGGCGAUGAAGGACGUGCUAAUCUGCGAAAAGCGUCGGUAAGGUGAUAUGAACCGUUAUAACCGGCGAUGUCCGAAUGGGGAAACCCAGUGCAAUUCGUUGCACUAUCGUUAACUGAAUACAUAGGUUAACGAGGCGAACCGGGGGAACUGAAACAUCUAAGUACCCCGAGGAAAAGAAAUCAACCGAGAUUCCCCCAGUAGCGGCGAGCGAACGGGGAGCAGCCCAGAGUCUGAAUCAGCUUGUGUGUUAGUGGAACGGUCUGGAAAGUCCGACGGUACAGGGUGAUAGUCCCGUACACCAAAAUGCACAGGCUGUGAACUCGAAGAGUAGGGCGGGACACGUGGUAUCCUGUCUGAAUAUGGGGGGACCAUCCUCCAAGGCUAAAUACUCCUGACUGACCGAUAGUGAACCAGUACCGUGAGGGAAAGGCGAAAAGAACCCCGGCGAGGGGAGUGAAAAAGAACCUGAAACCGUGUACGUACAAGCAGUGGGAGCACCUUCGUGGUGUGACUGCGUACCUUUUGUAUAAUGGGUCAGCGACUUAUAUUCUGUAGCAAGGUUAACCGUAUAGGGGAGCCGCAGGGAAACCGAGUCUUAACUGGGCGUUAAGUUGCAGGGUAUAGACCCGAAACCCGGUGAUCUAGCCAUGGGCAGGUUGAAGGUUGGGUAACACUAACUGGAGGACCGAACCGACUAAUGUUGAAAAAUUAGCGGAUGACUUGUGGCUGGGGGUGAAAGGCCAAUCAAACCGGGAGAUAGCUGGUUCUCCCCGAAAGCUAUUUAGGUAGCGCCUCGUGAACUCAUCUUCGGGGGUAGAGCACUGUUUCGGCUAGGGGGUCAUCCCGACUUACCAACCCGAUGCAAACUACGAAUACCGAAGAAUGUUAUCACGGGAGACACACGGCGGGUGCUAACGUCCGUCGUGAAGAGGGAAACAACCCAGACCGCCAGCUAAGGUCCCAAAGUCAUGGUUAAGUGGGAAACGAUGUGGGAAGGCACAGACAGCCAGGAUGUUGGCUUAGAAGCAGCCAUCAUUUAAAGAAAGCGUAAUAGCUCACUGGUCGAGUCGGCCUGCGCGGAAGAUGUAACGGGGCUAAACCAUGCACCGAAGCUGCGGCAGCGACACUAUGUGUUGUUGGGUAGGGGAGCGUUCUGUAAGCCUGCGAAGGUGACCUGUGAGGGUUGCUGGAGGUAUCAGAAGUGCGAAUGCUGACAUAAGUAACGAUAAAGCGGGUGAAAAGCCCGCUCGCCGGAAGACCAAGGGUUCCUGUCCAACGUUAAUCGGGGCAGGGUGAGUCGACCCCUAAGGCGAGGCCGAAAGGCGUAGUCGAUGGGAAACAGGUUAAUAUUCCUGUACUUGGUGUUACUGCGAAGGGGGGACGGAGAAGGCUAUGUUAGCCGGGCGACGGUUGUCCCGGUUUAAGCAUGUAGGCUGGUUAUCCAGGCAAAUCCGGAUAAUCAAGGCUGAGGUGUGAUGACGAGGCACUACGGUGCUGAAGUAACAAAUGCCCUGCUUCCAGGAAAAGCCUCUAAGCAUCAGGUAACAUCAAAUCGUACCCCAAACCGACACAGGUGGUCAGGUAGAGAAUACCAAGGCGCUUGAGAGAACUCGGGUGAAGGAACUAGGCAAAAUGGUGCCGUAACUUCGGGAGAAGGCACGCUGGUGUGUAGGUGAAGUCCCUGCGGAUGGAGCUGAGACCAGUCGAAGAUACCAGCUGGCUGCAACUGUUUAUUAAAAACACAGCACUGUGCAAACACGAAAGUGGACGUAUACGGUGUGACGCCUGCCCGGUGCCGGAAGGUUAAUUGAUGGGGUUAUCCGUAAGGAGAAGCUCUUGAUCGAAGCCCCGGUAAACGGCGGCCGUAACUAUAACGGUCCUAAGGUAGCGAAAUUCCUUGUCGGGUAAGUUCCGACCUGCACGAAUGGCGUAAUGAUGGCCAGGCUGUCUCCACCCGAGACUCAGUGAAAUUGAACUCGCUGUGAAGAUGCAGUGUACCCGCGGCAAGACGGAAAGACCCCGUGAACCUUUACUAUAGCUUGACACUGAACAUUGAGCCUUGAUGUGUAGGAUAGGUGGGAGGCUUUGAAGCGUGGACGCCAGUCUGCGUGGAGCCAACCUUGAAAUACCACCCUUUAAUGUUUGAUGUUCUAACGUUGGCCCCUUAUCGGGGUUGCGGACAGUGUCUGGUGGGUAGUUUGACUGGGGCGGUCUCCUCCCAAAGCGUAACGGAGGAGCACGAAGGUUAGCUAAUCCUGGUCGGACAUCAGGAGGUUAGUGCAAUGGCAUAAGCUAGCUUGACUGCGAGCGUGACGGCGCGAGCAGGUGCGAAAGCAGGUCAUAGUGAUCCGGUGGUUCUGAAUGGAAGGGCCAUCGCUCAACGGAUAAAAGGUACUCCGGGGAUAACAGGCUGAUACCGCCCAAGAGUUCAUAUCGACGGCGGUGUUUGGCACCUCGAUGUCGGCUCAUCACAUCCUGGGGCUGAAGUAGGUCCCAAGGGUAUGGCUGUUCGCCAUUUAAAGUGGUACGCGAGCUGGGUUUAGAACGUCGUGAGACAGUUCGGUCCCUAUCUGCCGUGGGCGCUGGAGAAUUGAGGGGGGCUGCUCCUAGUACGAGAGGACCGGAGUGGACGCAUCACUGGUGUUCGGGUUGUCAUGCCAAUGGCACUGCCCGGUAGCUAAAUGCGGAAGAGAUAAGUGCUGAAAGCAUCUAAGCACGAAACUUGCCCCGAGAUGAGUUCUCCCUGAGACUUUAAGUCUCCUGAAGGAACGUUGAAGACGACGACGUUGAUAGGCCGGGUGUGUAAGCGCAGCGAUGCGUUGAGCUAACCGGUACUAAUGAACCGUGAGGCUUAACCUU
rnacentral:rRNA from 1 species